CUACCUAGAAAUGAAUAUUCCAAAAUUUCAAAGAUCUAUUCUUGCUCAAUUUAGAUAAUCAUUAGAAGAUAGGUUAUGUAAUUUUUGUUCUAAAGAUGAAAUAGAAGACGAGUAUCACUUUUUAUUAAAUUGUACAGAAUAUUCCAAUUUCAGAGCAGAUUUAUUUACUAGUAUUAGAUGUAACCCAACUUUGUCUAUGUCAGUUCAAGAUAGUGUAAAUUUUCUUUUAACAAAUUUUCCCAGGCAGACCUCAAAAUAUUUAUACCUUUCAUACAUGCACCGACAAUCUCUGUUGUAUAAAAAACGCCAUGCGUAAUAUUUGUGUAUAUAUUUUUCAUAUAUUUUGUUAAAAGUGACAUAUAGGUCCGAUGGGCCGGGUGUUUGGAUAUUAAUUGUAUUAAAUGUUUUUCAUUGUACUGUAUAACACAUGUCACUAUAAUAAACAAUUUACUUACUUA